UUGCUCAAAAUGCAGAAAUUUGAUGGAGACUACUAUCCUGAGGCUCCUUUGGAACACCAUUAAAGGUUUUCUUGACCCAAAAACAACUUCAAAGAUACAUCCAACUUCUAGAUUUCUUGAGUGACUUAUGCACUUGCUCUAGUAAAGGUGGAUGUUU